rnacentral:rRNA from 1 species
GAUGAACGCUGGCGGCGUGCUUAACACAUGCAAGUCGAACGGUGAAGCAGGAGCUUGCUCUUGUGGAUCAGUGGCGAACGGGUGAGUAACACGUGAGCAACCUGCCCCUGACUCUGGGAUAAGCGCUGGAAACGGCGUCUAAUACUGGAUAUGUGAUGUGACCGCAUGGUCUGCAUCUGGAAAGAAUUUCGGUUGGGGAUGGGCUCGCGGCCUAUCAGCUUGUUGGUGAGGUAAUGGCUCACCAAGGCGUCGACGGGUAGCCGGCCUGAGAGGGUGACCGGCCACACUGGGACUGGGACACGGCCCAGACUCCUACGGGAGGCAGCAGUGGGGAAUAUUGCACAAUGGGCGGAAGCCUGAUGCAGCAACGCCGCGUGAGGGAUGACGGGCUUCGGGUUGUAAACCCCUUUUAGCAGGGAAGAAGCGAAAGUGACGGUACCUGCAGAAAAAGCACCGGCUAACUACGUGCCAGCAGCCGCCGUAA